GUGCUUGCUUCAGCAGCACAUAUACUAAAAUUGUAAUGACACAGAGAAGAUUAGCAUGGCCCCUGUGCAAGAACUCUCUUCUUAUCACUGGAACCUAGAAGCUUAAA